rnacentral:rRNA from 1 species
UACGGAGGGUGCUAGCGUUGUUCGGAAUUACUGGGCGUAAAGGGCGCGUAGGCGGCCCUGUCAGUCGGAUGUGAAAGCCCGGGGCUCAACCCCGGAACGGCAUCCGAGACGGCAGGGCUGGAGACCGGGAGAGGAGAGUGGAAUAGCCAGUGUAGAGGUGAAAUUCGUAGAUAUUGGCUGGAACACCGGUGGCGAAAGCGGCUCUCUGGCCCGGUUCUGACGCUGAGGCGCGAAAGCGUGGGGAGCAAACAGG